rnacentral:misc_RNA from 1 species
GAAAUGCGAUAAGUAAUGUGAAUUGCAGAAUUCAGUGAACCAUCGAAUCUUUGAACGCACAUUGCGCCCGCCGGCAUUCCGGCGGGCAUGCCUGUUCGAGCGUCAUUUCCACCCUCAGGCUCCGCCUGGUGUUGGGGGCCGGCCGCCCUGGGCGGCCGCCCCCGAAAGACAGCGGCGGGCUCGCCCCGGUCCCGAGCGUAGUAGCAACACGUCGCUCCGGGUGCCGGGCGGGCUCUCGCCGUAAAACCCCCCAUACUUCUAUGGUUGACCUCGGAUCAGGUAGGAAUACCCGCUGAACUUAA